UUUGGUGGCAACAGCGGAGGGGUCACACGCGUACCCAUCCCGAACACGACCGUUAAGCUCUCCAUCGCCAAUGGUACUUGGACCGCAAGGUCCUGGGAGAUUAGGACGUUGCCAUGC
rnacentral:rRNA from 1 species